rnacentral:rRNA from 1 species
GACGAACGCUGGCGGCGUGCUUAACACAUGCAAGUCGAACGAAAAGGCCCUGCUUUUGUGGAGUGCUCGAGUGGCGAACGGGUGAGUAACACGUGAGUAACCUGCCCUUGACUUUGGGAUAACUUCAGGAAACUGGGGCUAAUACCGGAUAGGAGCUCCUGCUGCAUGGUGGGGGUUGGAAAGUUUCGGCGGUUGGGGAUGGACUCGCGGCUUAUCAGCUUGUUGGUGGGGUAGUGGCUUACCAAGGCUUUGACGGGUAGCCGGCCUGAGAGGGUGACCGGCCACAUUGGGACUGAGAUACGGCCCAGACUCCUACGGGAGGCAGCAGUGGGGAAUAUUGCACAAUGGGCGGAAGCCUGAUGCAGCAACGCCGCGUGCGGGAUGACGGCCUUCGGGUUGUAAACCGCUUUCGCCUGUGACGAAGCGUGAGUGACGGUAAUGGGUAAAGAAGCACCGGCUAACUACGUG